CCGACGUUUCCCAACCCUCUCUUCUCCAUCUCCAUCUCCAUCUCCCUCUCCAACUCCACCUGCAAUUCCCGAUCGUCAUCGUCAUCUAGAUAAUUUUUUCAUCUCCAGUGAUCGAUUGAUUGAUUGCUGUUCAUCUCUCUCGUUCUGGAUAUCAGUUUUCGAUCGCAGUCCAGUGCACCAAUAUGAAUUGGGCUGGAUAAGUGAAAUAGAGAGAUCUCUUGAUGGAUUUCAAGAGAGGAUUGCGUUGGUUGGGAGGAUUAUAUGAAUUCUGGAAGCAAAAGAUUUAUUGAUUAUUUGGAUCAGAGUUUGGUGUCUUUAGUUUUUGAUGUAGUGUGACUUUUCUUGUGAGGUAUGAAUAUCGUCAAGGGUGUUGCUGAUCUUAUUCGAAGAUCAUCUGGUGGUCAAACUGGGGAAAGUUCUUCAUGGUCUCAUGGGGAGAACUUAUCUGCUCCGAGUCUGAUGAUCCGUUUUGGGGAGGUUGGUGAGGAGGCUGUAUUGGGUAUGCUUU